GUUACAUCACAAAUUAGUUUAUGGUAGACGAUACAUUCAAUUGGGCGAAAUUCUUAUGUUCAUAAUUACAUUACUAUUUUAUAUGAAAUUCUUAAUAUUCUCCAUCUGUGAUAUAUCAAAACAUCUGGUAUUAAAGUCAUUCGAAUUUGGGGUGGGUUUUUUUUUUUUUUUUUUUUUUUAAAGAGACUUUUGGUGUCUAUAAUGAAGCUUUUUCUUUUGUUUUGUCUUGUUUUGUGGGUUUUAUGGGUUUUUUUUCUUUUUAUUAGGGAAAUAGUUAUUUCAGUUACUGAAAUCUUGUGGGUAUUCGGUUUAUCGCACCCUUCUCGUGUAUCGGUCUGCCACGUGAAUAACAGGGGAACUGACAUUUAAUUUCCAAAUAAUUGUUACAUAAAACAAAUAUGACGGACAAAUUAUCUCAAUUAAGCAGCGACUUCCACGCGAGAGUUCUAUAAGGGGAGACAACUGCGUGACGGCGUCACUGUUCGUUUGGUUACAAACAGAAGCAGACAUGAAGCUCUUCCUCUGUGUCCUGAUUGUAGCGUCCAUCUUUGUGACUGCGAAUUGUGAGAUGUGCAUAUGUACCCGGGAAUAUGCCCCUGUGUGUGGCGUGCAAGUCUACCCAAACGCAUGUGACAGAGGGUGUAAGAAUGGGAUUCCUGCUGAAGGAUAUAAUUACAACCGAGCCACCAACACGUGCGACAAGGUCUAGGUCAAGGACGAUGACGACAAUUAAUAUUAUCUUGACAUGAAGUCAUACUCGAGGCAUUUGCAAAAUAAAUAAAAAAGACAUUUGUCUUCUGAAUAAUG